UACGGGGGGGGCAAGCGUUGUUCGGAAUUACUGGGCGUAAAGGGCUCGUAGGCGGCCAACUAAGUCGGACGUGAAAUCCCUCGGCUUAACCGGGGAACUGCAUCCGAUACUGGAAGGCUUGAGUUUGGGAGAGGGAUGCGGAAUUCCAGGGUGUAGCGGUGAAAUGCGUAGAUAUCUGGAGGAACACCGGUGGCGAAGGCGGCAUCCUGGACCAACACUGACGCUGAGUGAGCGAAAGCCAGGGGAGCAAACGG
rnacentral:rRNA from 1 species